UAUUUGAUGGACAUUGGCAGAGCCUCUC
rnacentral:piRNA from 1 species